GUGUCAGCAGCCGCGGUAAUACAGAGAGUGCAAACGUUGUUCGGAAUUACUGGGCUUAAAGCGCACGUAGGCGGUGUCGUAAGUGUCAGGUGAAAUCCCACGGCUCACCCGUGGAACUGCCUGGCAUACUGCGAUACUCGAGUGUGGUAGGGGAGAGCGGAACUCCUGGUGGAGCGGUGAAAUGCGUAGAUAUCAGGAGGAACACCGGUGGCGAAGGCGGCUCUCUGGUCCACAACUGACGCUGAGGUGCGAAAGCUAGGGGAGCAAACGGGAUUAGAAACCCUAGUAGUCC
rnacentral:rRNA from 1 species